rnacentral:rRNA from 1 species
AGGGUUAAGUUAGAAAGGGCGCAUGGUGGAUGCCUUGGCACUAGGAGCCUAAGAAGGACGGCACUAACACCGAUAUGCUCCGGGGAGCUGUAAGUAAGCUUUGAUCCGG